rnacentral:sRNA from 1 species
CGACAUUUAAAUUUUAAUAAGAUAUGAUGCAGGUCGAAGUUUGUAUUCUUCGUUAAAACAUACAAAUUUAAAAUAAAUGCUAAUAAUAUAAUUUCUUUUAAGUUUCAAGCAGUUAAUAAUACAAUAACUUUCGAUAAUAAACUAAAUUUUGCUAUUUAGUCUCGCAACUUAUUUUAUUUAAUAUAUUUUAUUCACUAUAACUAGACGUUAGUUUAUUUUAUAGUUUAGAAUUAUUUAAAUUCUUACUAUUUGUUCAAUUUUUUGAACUAAACCUGUGAAGGAGUGUCUUAAAAAGAUUUAAAUGGACGCGG